GUGGGGAAUCUUCCGCAAUGGACGAAAGUCUGACGGAGCAACGCCGCGUGAGUGAAGAAGGUUUUCGGAUCGUAAAGCUCUUUCGUUAGGGACGAACGUGCUCUUUGUGAAUAAUGAGGAGUAAUGACGGUACCUAAAUAAGAAGCCACGGCUAACUACGUGCCAGCAGCCGCGGUAAUACGUAGGUGGCAAGCGUUGUCCGGAAUUAUUGGGCGUAAAGCGCGCGCAGGCGGGAUAUCAAGUCUGUCUUAAAAGUGCGAGGUUCAACCUCGUGAGGGGACAGAAACUGGUAUUCUUGAGUGUCGGAGAGGAAAGUGGAAUUCCAAGUGUAGCGGUGAAAUGCGUAGAGAUUUGGAAGAACACCAGUGGCGAAGGCGACUUUCUGGACGAUGUCUGACGCUGAGGCGCGAAAGCUAGGGGAGCGAACGGGAUUAGAUACCCUUGUAGUCC
rnacentral:rRNA from 1 species